rnacentral:rRNA from 1 species
AUUGAACGCUGGCGGCAUGCCUUACACAUGCAAGUCGAACGGCAGCACGGGUGCUUGCACCUGGUGGCGAGUGGCGAACGGGUGAGUAAUACAUCGGAACAUGUCCUGUAGUGGGGGAUAGCCCGGCGAAAGCCGGAUUAAUACCGCAUACGAUCUACGGCUGAAAGCGGGGGACCUUCGGGCCUCGCGCUAUAGGGUUGGCCGAUAGCUGAUUAGCUAGUUGGUGGGGUAAAGGCCUACCAAGGCGACGAUCAGUAGCUGGUCGGAGAGGACGACCAGCCACACUGGGACUGAGACACGGCCCAGACUCCUACGGGAGGCAGCAGUGGGGAAUUUUGGACAAAGGGCGAAAGCCUGAUCCAGCAAUGCCGCGUGUGUGAAGAAGGCCUUCGGGUUGUAAAGCACUUUUGUCCGGAAAGAAACCCUUGGCUCUAAUACAGUCGGGGGAUGACGGUACCGGAAGAAUAAGCACCGGCUAACUACGUG